AGGAAAGGAAAGGAAAAGAAAAAAGCACUGAUGAUUCAGCCUCCAGGCUCUCCAGAAGACCUACAGAAAAGCAAAAUGCAAAGUUGUGCUUGCAAGUCCUACUGUGGCUUCUCAUGUUAUUAGAAAUAAUUUAUUUCCCAACACUGCUAAAGAGGAACUGGGACAACUCAGGUACCUAAAAAGACUGUCAGGAACUGCGACCCUACUGUGUGCCAUCAUAUGGGACCUGCUGUACAACUAUAAAACCGAAAGAAUAGCCCAUGUUCUUUAAGAACUUCUUUUCUGAGGAUGAGGAAGGAUAAAACAGGGAUACAGAGGGACUGGGUGUCCAAGGAGUCGAUGGUUUGGAUUUCUGGAGGGUGGUUCAUUUGCAAUAUUUUCCAAACUCAGCAUCUGCUUGUCACCUUCACUUACUGGUCCCUGGUCUACAUUUCUGACUGCUGUCUGCAGGAUCCUGUAGGAGUCUUGUACACACCUCACUGA
rnacentral:lncRNA from 1 species